rnacentral:rRNA from 1 species
CCUACGGGGGGCAGCAGUCGAGAAUAAUUCACAAUGGGGGCAACCCUGAUGGUGCAACGCCGCGUGGAGGAUGACGGUCUUCGGAUUGUAAACUCCUGUCAUCCGGGAGUAAGACCUGGGAGUUAACAGCUCACAGGGUUGAUAGUACCGGAAGAGGAAGGGACGGCUAACUUCGUGCCAGCAGCCGCGGUAAUACGAAGGUCCCGAGCGUUGUUCGGAAUCACUGGGCGUAAAGGGAGCGUAGGCUGCGCGGUAAGUCAGAUGUGAAAUCCCGGGGCUCAACCCCGGAACUGCAUCCGAUACUGCCGCGCUUGAGGAUUGGAGAGGUAGCUGGAAUUCUUGGUGUAGCAGUGAAAUGCGUGGAUAUCAAGAGGAACACUCGUGGCGAAAGCGAGCUACUGGACAACUCCUGACGCUGAGGCUCGAAGGCCAGGGUAGCGAAAGGGAUUAGAUACCCUAGUAGUC